AGUAACGUCCCUUCUCUCAAAGGUUUUAUGAUGAAGGUGAUAACUGAACCUUGUCCUCUUCAGAGGGACCUCCCUGAUGUCUUCAACGCCCCUCAAACCAAAGAUUCUGCCUCUGAGAGUCGCAGGAUGGGAAAAUGACAGUGUCUCUGUUCACUGCUGCCACAGAUUUUCAGUCCAUCUUUUCAAAAUUCCAUUGUAUUUUUCACUAAUACAUGCCAUGUAGAGAUUAUUUAUGGAUUAAUAUUGUCUUGAUAGUGUUUAACUAAUUACAUUUAUGUAACAGACAUGAUUGUAUGUAAUCAUGCUUUGCAUUUGUGAUGCUUCAUGUUUUUUGGGGUGUUUUUUGCUAAUGAUUUUCAUAUUCUUAACAGCAGCAAACACAUAUAUGAAAUGUACCCAUUGAAUGUCAGCUAAACCAAAAACCUUUUUAUUUUGUUUUAGUGUUUAAACAACCAAUCUCAGCAACAUAGUUUUAUUUAGUCAAUUCUAUUUUGUAUACAUAUAAUGAUCUGCUGCCUGAUCCACAGUAUUGAGCUGGUCCUUUUUUUCCUGCCCUUGAAUGUAAUGUGAAUAGGAACACCAGAGUAUAUAUACAUCUGUAGCUGGGCUGGGCUCACCAGGCAUAAGUCAUCAGCUCAGCCAUUAAACGGUUAAUCUGUUAUCUGGGGUGGGGUUAAAUUGAGCAAAUUGUGAUUUUUGCAUGCAGUGCUAGCUAAUCAGUUGAGCUGUGUGGAGGAGGGGGGGGGGGCAGACAGGCAAUGUUGAUAUAAGGAGGUGACUGUCACUGUCACAACAAAGGGGAUUUUCUUCGCGUGCCCAGCUGAACGCUGUACCUCUUUCAGUGCUGCUGUGUUUUGGUUUUACUACUACUGUAGAGUGGUUGGAGUGUCAAACCAGUGUCUUAAAAGUGUCUUUAGGAUGAGCUGUAUUUGGAUCAGUUUGAACUCGGAUUUUCUGAGCUGUGAUGUCACAAUGUGGUGGAUUAGUGUUCUGUGUAUAAAGGUUUGGUUAAUUUGAUGUUAUAUUCAGGAGAUUAUAGUUUUCUGAGGUUGUUUAUUAUAUUAUUAGAAAUGGAUUACAUUUAAUGUCCAUUUAGACGAAAUUAAUUCCAAGCACAUUUCAUUAUUCACCAUUUUUUCUGCUGUAUUUUUAUACGAAGUUGCAUCAGAUUGUUUUUGUUAAUUUUGUAUUAAAU
ensembl:lncRNA